ACGGGUGCUUGCACCUGGUGGCGAGUGGCGAACGGGUGAGGAAUAUAUCGGAACGUGCCUCAUAGUGGGGGAUAACGCAGCGAAAGCUGUGCUAAUACCGCAUACGCCCUGAGGGGGAAAGCGGGGGACCGUAAGGCCUCGCGCUAUGAGAGCGGCCGAUACCUGAUUAGCUUGUUGGUGGGGUAAAAGCCCACCAAGGCGACGAUCAGUAGCUGGUCUGAGAGGACGAUCAGCCACACUGGGACUGAGACACGGCCCAGACUCCUACGGGAGGCAGCAGUGGGGAAUUUUGGACAAUGGGGGCAACCCUGAUCCAGCAAUGCCGCGUGAGUGAAGAAGGCCUUCGGGUUGUAAAGCUCUUUUGUCAGGGAAGAAACAGCAGCUCUAACACAGUCUGCGAAUGACGGUACCUGAAGAAUAAGCACCGGCUAACUACGUGCCAGCAGCCGCGGUAAUACGUAGGGUGCGAGCGUUAAUCGGAAUUACUGGGCGUAAAGCGUGCGCAGGCGGUUUAUACAAGACAGGCGUGAAAUCCCCGGGCUUAACCUGGGAACUGCGCCUGUGACUGUAUAGC
rnacentral:rRNA from 1 species